GUUUCUUCUCAACACUGGCCGAGACAGCUUCGGGUUUCUUCUCAAUACCGGCGGUGUAUCCGCCGGUAGCUUCAGAUUUCUUCACUCCACCGCCAUAGUCAAGAUCGCCAUGGGCCAAUGCUAGGGGGCUGGUGGAGGCAACAACGAGGAAGAGUAGAAGGGCUAGAGCGAGCUGGGCCCUCAUGAUAAUCAAUCAACCCGACGAACAGUGGUGGUGCGAUGAAAUGUCUGCAGGAGGAACUCGGGAGGUAUUUCAAUGGUGAGGGAGAGGGAGCUAGGGAAGGAGAAGAGAGA
rnacentral:lncRNA from 1 species